GCAGCGGCAGCAGACGCGUCUGGCUCUGCCUCUCUGUGCCGAGCGCUGGCGAUCGGAGUCACCCGGCCUUGUUCUGAGGCUGGGCACCAAGCUCCUGUCGCUGGCUACACUGAGAGUGCUCCCAAAUUCAAACCCAGAUCCUUCUGCCAGGCAGAAGCACGGGUUCAAAGAUGGAGUUUACUGGCAAAGGAAAAACCUCUGAAGGAAAAGGCCUGUCUGGCUACCCGCUUGCCAAGAGGUUUUCCCUGGCCAGUCCCUCUAUGCUCCUUCCCUCCAAGCCAUUGCCUCCCAUCCAGAAGAGCUCUCCUUCUACCAAGCCAAGCCUGAUAUGCAGCAGAGAGCAGGAGAAUGGGAAAGAUGGCAUUGGGUAUGCUGAGGGCAGGAGAAAAGAAGAGGAGCUGAGUUCAGAGGGACAAGGACAUAAGGCUUCCUUGCUGUGUUCCAGUGGAGGGGAUAUGAAGAAGGGGUUAUUGGGACCACCUCUGAUCCCCCCCAUAGGCAAGGCAGUAAGUCCCUCUCUUGGCAGUGCUGUGGGCUCUCUGCAAAGCUCUCUGCAGCUGGAAUUCCAGGAGUCCCAGGAGAUGA